rnacentral:rRNA from 1 species
UACGGAGGGUGCAAGCGUUAUCCGGAUUCACUGGGUUUAAAGGGUGCGUAGGUGGGUUGGUAAGUCAAUGGUGAAAUCUCCGGGCUUAACCUGGAAACUGCCAUUGAUACUAUCAAUCUUGAAUACCUUGGAGGUGAGCGGAAUAUGUCAUGUAGCGGUGAAAUGCUUAGAUAUGACAUAGAACACCGAUAGCGAAGGCAGCUUGCUACACAAUGAUUGACACUGAGGCUCGAAAGCGUGGGGAUCAAACAGG